rnacentral:piRNA from 1 species
UACGUGGUGUGCUUGCAAUCGGUGGUC